rnacentral:rRNA from 1 species
ACGCUCGACACCUACGGGGGGCAGCAGUGGGGAAUAUUGCACAAUGGGGGAAACCCUGAUGCAGCGACGCCGCGUGAGCGAAGAAGUAUUUCGGUAUGUAAAGCUCUAUCAGCAGGGAAGAAACUGACGGUACCUGACUAAGAAGCACCGGCUAAAUACGUACCAGCAGCCGCGGUAAUCUGAGCGGGCUGGCAAGGC